AUUGAACGCUGGCGGCAGGCCUAACACAUGCAAGUCGAACGAGUGGCGGACGGGUGAGUAAUGUCUGGGAAAAUGCCUGAUGGAGGGGGAUAACUACUGGAAACGGUAGCUAAUACCGCAUACCAUCGGAUGUGCCCAGAUGGGAUUAGCUAGUCGGUGGGGUAACGGCUCACCUAGGGGACGAUCCCAAGCUGGCAUGAGAGGCGGACCGGCCAAACUGGAUAUGAGACACGGGCCAGACUCCUAGGGGAGGGAGCAGUGGGGAAGAUUGCACAAUGGGCGCAAGCCUGAUGCAGCCAUGCCGCGUGUAUGAAGAAGGCAUUCGGUUUGUAAAGUACUUUCAGCGGGGAGGCGUUACCCGCAGAAGAAGCACCGGCUAACUCCGUGCCAGCAGCCGCGUAAUAC
rnacentral:rRNA from 1 species